UACGUAGGGGGCAAGCGUUGUCCGGAAUUAUUGGGCGUAAAGAGCGCGUAGGCGGUCCGAUAAGUCGGCUGUGAAAGUCUAGGGCUCAACCCUGGAAAGCCGGCCGAUACUGUCGGACUAGAGUCCGGAAGAGGCGAGUGGAAUUCCCGGGUGUAGCGGUGAAAUGCGCAGAUAUCGGGAGGAACACCAAUGGCGAAGGCAGCUCGCUGGGACGGUACUGACGCUGAGGCGGCGAAAAGCGUGG
rnacentral:rRNA from 1 species